CUUUACGGCACUUUACGACUAGCGGGAGGAGGACGGGCUCGCGGACUCCUGGGCUGCGGAGACCCAGGGGCGAAAGUUCAACUAGGUGUCUCCCUGGUGAAGCGUCACAUUGGCAAAUCCAGCAGUGAGUGUCCUGAUUUCCCAACAAGAUUUAAAAAAAUAAUUUCAGAUAGAUUAAUACUAAAAUGACAGUGCCAAAAAGGAUGAUUAAGUAGUCCAAAGAAGAUUUGGAGUCAUUCAUUACAUUUGUGUUGUAGUAGUUUCCUGCCUCACUAUAGCUCUGAUGCAGCUGAAGUGUUUUGUACUUGGCUGAAAACUGUUCUCCCAAAAUUCAUGCCCAUCAGGAAUCUGUAAAUGUGACCUUACUUGGAAAUAGGGUCUUUGUAGGUGUAAUCCAAUUAAGAUGAGGUCACACUGGAUUAGAGUGGACCGUAAAUCCAAUGACUGGUAUCAUAAAAAGAAGAGGGAAAUUUGGACAUACUGACACACAGGGCGAAAGUGGCCAUGUGAAGAAGGAAUCUAAGAUAGGAGUGAUGCCCAGCUCUAAGCCAUGGGAUGCCAGGGAUUGCCUGAGACCACUGGAAACAAGAAGAGGCAAGGAAGGAUUCUUCCAGAGCUGUUGGAAGGAGCAUGGCCCUGUAGACACCUUGAUUUCAGGCUUCUGUACCCUGGAACUGCGAGAGAAUAAUUUUCUGUUGUUUUAAGCCACUUGGUUUGUGGUAAUUUGUUACUAGAAAACUAGUACAAAAUUCAUAGUCCCUUCAUGUUCCUCAUUUUCCUUGGUUUAAGGAAGGCUUAACCAUACCUUUUAAAUUUUAUUUUUAUGUAUUUUAAAGACAGGGUCUUGCUAUAUUGGCCAGCUUGUCUUGAACUCUUUGCCUCAAACAAUCCUCCUGCCUCAGUCUCCCAAAGUGUUGGGACUACACAUCCCCUGUACCUUUCAUAAUAAAAUUCUUGCAUCAAAUUUUAAGAGUCCACCAAGAUCUUCGUGAGCUCUUUUCCCUCCUCUUUCACUUUACCGAAGGCUUAAUCCAAAACCCUUUGCCCUUCUCUUCAUUUUUUCUCCCAUUGUGACCACUCCCAUUCUUGUGAUUUUAAUCACCACUUCUAUGUUAACUUAUAAAGCUGAAUUUCCAACUUUAACUUCUCUUUUAACCUGUAAAUCCUAUAUUUUCAGUAACUGUAAUAUAUAUAUAUAUAUUUUUGCAACACACACUGGGACCAUUUAUUUAAAAAUCAAACAGAAUUUCAUUUAUAUUUGUCACAUACUCAGUCAGGGCUGGAAAAUGGCUGAUGAGACUGGUCAGUUAGGCAAGCGCUAGUCCCAGUUCCAGAUCCAGUAUUCUGGUGAGCUUCUGAGGGAUCUGAGACAGCGAAAAACACAGACCACCCAGCACCACACGUCGCUGUAGCUAACAGGUUGAACUGGAUCUCUUCUUUUCCCUCCAGCCUGCCUACCCCAAGCAAUGCCUCUCAACCCUUUAACUGAAGGCAGUAACAAUAACAUUAACUUUGGCCUCGUUUUCUCUCCCUAUUUUGACCUAUUCUUAAGUGGAUAUUCUAGGGAAUAAAGAAAUAGCCAAAAGCAAAAAAUCAUGAGUGCUUUUCAGAGAGGAAGAGAUCCUGGGAAAUCUAUGGACACAGUAAAGGUGCCUUUCAUAUUGGGAGUAGUAACUAUAAUUUUUAAUUCUGUAUUUUAAAGAAUGUUAUAGGCAUUUUUCUAGCAAGAGCCACAUUGCCACUUAACCCGGGUGCUGAAGACUUUACAUACAUAUUAAAUAUUUGCAAAAACCUUAUGAGGCCAAACUUUAUAUUCCCCAAUUUAAAGAUGAGAAAGUUGUGUAAGGCACUGAAUGGUAAAAUCACUUGCCAAAGUUCCAACAGUCAGUAAGUAGUGGAUACAAACCCACAACAGUGUGUUUUAAGCACAUAGGCAAACUAGACCUCUUUGAGAAUUUGGUGAAAACUAUGGUCGUUCACCACAGAAAUAAUAUAAAAAGUUUUCUAUGAAAUAUUAGAAAGUUCUUACAUUUUAGAAGUCUACUUAUGGAUCCCAGGUUAAGAACACUUGUACUGGAUUAGCUGGGUGUCAUAGCACAUGCCAGUAGUUUUAGCUAUUUAGGAGACUGAAAUGGAAGAUCACUUGAACCAGGAGUUCAAGACUGCAGUGAGCUAUGAUUAUACCACUGCACUCCAGCCUGGGCAAUAGAGCAAGACCUUGUCUCUAAAGAAAAACAAAAAUUAAACAAAACCUAUCUUUUUUGUAAUGAUCUGAGUCACAAUAAAUAUACUAGUAAUAAGAAAAACAUAGCUAGAUUCAAUAGUCUGAUUUUUUUCAUCAAUUUGGUUCUCUAGGAAAGUGUAACUUAUUUUAGCAAAUUAGUAGAUCUUUAUUAAAAAGAAAAUAGUGAACAUCAUGCUCAUUCAUUUAACACAAAUGUAAUGAAUGACUCCAAAUCUAGAAGAGAAGACCAAACAUGUAUACCAAAAAUUACAAUAUGAUUUAACAGUUACGACAAGAACAAUAAUCUUUGUGAACUGUGCAGAAUAAUAUGAAAGAAAAGUACUGUGUUGAAUGCAGAUAUCAGGUAAAAAAUUAUUAUAAUCAGGUAAAUAUAAAAUCCAUGCAGGAGAUGAAUAGGGAGAUUCUAACCUAAGGCAAUGGAAGUGGUGAGAAAGGAUUAAAUCCAAGGCUUAAUAAGGGGGAAAAUGCCAUCUGAGUUUAGAGGCUGAUUAAAUCAAGAUGAAAGAGAAAAAGGAAUGAAAAACAGCUCAGAGAUGUCUACAUAGGAUGAUUAGGUGUAGAGAUGCCAUUAACUGGGAUUAGAAAUAAGGAGAGAAAGGAGUGAGGUGGGGAGAAAAAAACAUUUUAUUUGGACAUGUGAUAAGUUGUUAUGGAGAUAGAGAUUCAGAAAUAGAUAUAUAAACACAGGUAUUAUAUAGUUAUAAAACCUAAGCAUAUUUUUAGGCAAAAGUGGGUGAUAAAGAGGGAAGGUUAUCAAGUAUAAUUGUCGGGGGGUUAGUUGGAUAGAAGACUGGAUACCUAUUCCUCUGAGAUAAGAGGACAGACUGUAUUCUGCAGUUCCAGUAACAGUUCAAGAAACAAAUGACUAUUAAUUAUAUAUUAUUAAAAAUAGUAUCCACUUUAGUAUUUGUCUGAUUUUAAAUUGUAGAUGUCAGUUACAUAUUUAUCCAAGAGAUCCUUUAUUUUCAAAAGCAAAUCCUAAAAGCUUAUAAUUAAAAUUGACUAUAGCCUACAUGUUGGAAUCCAGAGUGGAUUUGUUAAUUUUCUUACAGAAAGUAUUUUAGGCCCACCAAGGAACUUAGUCUAGAAUAGUUAGAGCCUAUAAUUUCACACUCUUUCAAAGUAAGCAUACAAAAAAAUAGUUCUUUUAAUCAAAGUACGUAAGUGAUUAAAUCCUAGUCGAUUGCAAAAUGUGUGUUUCUGUGAUAUCAUAUGUUUUUCAAAGCUUCCUUAGCAUGGUAAAAUUCAUCAUGACAUCAUCGUUUGUGAGAAUCUUCAUGAGGGUGAGGACAGCCUAAAUAAGUGAAGUUUCCUGAUAAUGAAAUGGCUUUGUUUCUAUGGGUCUUGAUUUAGUUUUAUUUGUUUAUUCAAAUCAAUGAAUAAAUAUACAUCCGUAGAGACAAUAUAUUCAGAUUGUACAUGUAUAUUUAAAACCUUCCUUUCCAACUUUAUUUUACAGAUUUGUUCAACUUCAUUUAAAUCACUAGAAUAUAAUUAAACACUGCCUUCUAAACUGGAGAAAAUAGGCUGUUCUCACAUGGUUGGGCUUACUUAAAUAACAAUAGCUUUAAAUAAAACUAGAAUAUGUUUCUUGAGAUACUGUAUGGCUCGAUUUUAUAUUAAAAUUCAAAACAUUGACAUUUACAGUUGUAAGGGACCAUAGAGGUUAUCAAUUUGUGCCCCUUUUUGGAUCAAGAAAUAAUAGUUCAGAGCAGUUCAGUAGGUUACCCAGAGCCAAGAAGAAUUAUAUAGUGGAUCCUCUAUACCAAGCUCUGUUCUAAACAUUUUCCAUACAUUUUAUAUAUUACCUUAAUUCUUAAAUUCACAAUUUUACAGAUGAAAAAAUAAAUACUCAGAGGUGAAGUCACCCAAAAACCCUCACCUAGUAAGUGAUGGCCCUGGGAUUUCAACCCAGGUAUUCUUCCUUAGAGUCAGUGCACUUAACUCUGCUCCCAGUUUCUACAAACGGCAGUGUUGAGACCCUGAAACCGUGUAACCUUCUGAUAUGGCUAGCCUUUUUGUCCCCACCCAAAUCUCAUCUGGAAUUGGACUUUUAAUUUUCAAAUGUGUUUAAGACUUUGGGGGACGAUUGGGAAGGCAUGAUUGGUUUUAAAAUGUAUAAAGAACAUGAGAUUUUGGAGGAGCCAGAAGUGGAAUGAUACAUGGUUUUGCUGUGUCCCCACCCAGAUCUUAUCUUGAAUUGUAAUCCUCAUAAUCCCCACUUAUCUAGGGAGAGGUCUUGGUGCGAGGUGAUUGGAUUGUGAGAGUGGCUUCUCUCAUGCUGUUCUUGUGAUAGUGAAUGAGUUCUCAUGAGAUCUGAUGGUUUUAAAGAAUCUGGUAUUUUCCCUGCUCAUGCACUUCUCUCUUCUUCCACUAACUGAGGAAGGUCCUUACUUCCCCUUUGCCUUCCGCCAUGAUUGUAAGUUUCCUGAGGCCUCCCUAGCCAUGUGGAACUGUGAGUCAAGUCUCUUUCCUUUGUAAAUUACUAAGUCUCAGG